AUGGUACUCCCUCCGUCUGGAAAUACUUGUCCUGAAAAUGGAGAAAAUGGAUGCAUCUAUAACUAAAAUAAAUAUAGAUACAUCCAUUUCUAGGACAAGUAUUUUUGGACGAAGGGAGUACUAA
rfam:Triticum aestivum genome assembly, contig: Triticum_aestivum_CS42_TGACv1_scaffold_641717_T_7BL-0.113042_7AS-0.058618